UCUAAUAUGGCAGAAUAGUGCAAUGAAUUUAAGCUUCAUAUAUAAAGUUAAUCCCUUUUUUUAGAA
rnacentral:tRNA from 1 species